CCUAACACAUGCAAGUCGAGCGGAAACGAGUUAUCUGAACCUUCGGGGAACGAUAACGGCGUCGAGCGGCGGACGGGUGAGUAAUGCCUAGGAAAUUGCCCUGAUGUGGGGGAUAACCAUUGGAAACGAUGGCUAAUACCGCAUGAUGCCUACGGGCCAAAGAGGGGGACCUUCGGGCCUCUCGCGUCAGGAUAUGCCUAGGUGGGAUUAGCUAGUUGGUGAGGUAAGGGCUCACCAAGGCAACGAUCCCUAGCUGGUCUGAGAGGAUGAUCAGCCACACUGGAACUGAGACACGGUCCAGACUCCUACGGGAGGCAGCAGUGGGGAAUAUUGCACAAUGGGCGCAAGCCUGAUGCAGCCAUGCCGCGUGUGUGAAGAAGGCCUUCGGGUUGUAAAGUACUUUCAGUCGUGAGGAAGGCGGC
rnacentral:rRNA from 1 species